rnacentral:lncRNA from 1 species
UUUUAUAAAUUUAGCCACUAAUAAGCCAAGUGCAACAACUUAAUACUAUAGUACAAAGCAAAAGCUGAAAAUAGAAACAGGUUUUGAUCGCACUAGCUAGUUCAAGGGUUUGACUAAUAAAGACAGUAUCACCACCGUCGGAAUGAGGAAUUCUCCGGCAAUUUCCACGGCGGAAUCCGGCAACAAAAGUGGAAUUAGAUGGUUUUCCGGCAUGGUACACGCCGGGAAGAAGGCAUACAUGGAUAAUCAGAAGCCGAGGCAGGUUGAGAAGGCUGAGAAAGUCAUGCAUCUUAUCUGUUGGGGACCCAAAUAGUUCAUUUCUUAAGUAAGUAGUGCUUACGUUCGAAUCUUGAGAAUAAAGAAUCUUUUCAGAUGAAAGCGGUUUUCUCUUUAGUGAGUUUAUAUAUUACAAUGAAAUCUGAACAAUCGAAUUAAUGACUUCAAUUAUCGAAUGGUUAAUAAAAAAAAAAGAUUGUGUUUAUAACUUUUUCCUUUUUCCCCCCUUUUUGGGGUUUGUUUUGCCCUUUUUUCCUGUCUUAUUAUCAUCUCCUUUUCUUUCUUUUUUUUGUUUGCUUUAGUUAGUAUGGCCUAAUGGGAGAGUCGAAAUUAUUAUGUUAUUUGCUCUCUAGGAGAGUUUGUAAUUAUAUAUUAAAUGUUGUUAAAAAUAUGUUUUGGUGGGAGAUGUUUCGUCUAAAUUUUCCAAAUUGAACCAAUAUGUGAUAUUCUCAGAAAUACAAAAUGGAAAUCAAUCCAGAAUACUAGUAGUAAAUUUCUAACUUCAUUUUAGACGAUUCGACUUGAUUUGAGUUAUUAGUUCUGUGGUUUUACAACUUAAUUAGAUAGAAAACCUUCACCUAAAAAAACAUAAACAUAUAGUUAUGACCGAACACCACCUCAUAAUAAACCUAAGAAAUAAUGAAUUCAGUUGUGAAAUUGAGAAGAAAAGAGGCAAGUGAGGACAAUUUUAUGGGUCGUCGAUAAUCAAAGAGGUAAGGUCUGCGUAUACUCUAUCCUCCCCAGAUUCCACUGAUGAAAUUUUACUAGGUGGUUGUUGUUGUUUUUGUUGAUAAGCAAAAGAGGGCCUUUUAGUGUGUGUGUGUGUAUAUAUAUAGUAGUUUAUAGACAAAUAAAUUAAUUUGAUCCCAUGAUAAUGAAUAAGUUAGACAAACAUAAAAUACUUAGCAUUGAUAUGGAGACAGAACAACAGAAAUCGUAAUAUCGGGAGCAGGGCUUCCGAGGACAAUAAUCACGAUAUAAAUGAGCAAAAAGAUAAAAUUAUAUUGAGCUCUGAACAAAGUGUAGCAUAUGUUUGUAAGAAAAUUCGUGUCAUUUACAAUGAUAAUAUUGCUCAUUAUUAUAGUUGCACCUAGGGAACAAGGUCCUAGGAUCAAGCCCCUCUUUAAUGACAAUUAUGAGGGCUAUUGAAGAAUGUGUAACAGUAGGCAAUGAAUGUCAUAUUCUCUAUAACAGUCCACAUACUUAAUGCUGUAGAAAAUUCUUUAUUAAAUGCUACCGGGUGGCAGACAAUUAUUUCACCUUCAUGAGGAUCAUUUUCUUCGAUAACAGACGAGAUCGUUGCCUUCGGAUCCGACUUCCUUCUAUCUUCGGCUCUAUGUCACUUUCUCAUGUGAUCAUUUAAUAUAAACACAUUUUACCCUAUACAUAUGGCCCCCUUGCUUUUCGAUGGCAUAACUUUGUGUCAACGGGAAGUUGGUAGAAAUACCUUUUUUGGCGGAAAAUUCUCUGGCCCCCGCCGAAAAGUUUCUGACAGCUGAUUAGACCCAUGUCUCUUUGCAUUUAAUGCCCUGAACACGCGUCAUCCCACGAUUCAUCACCACUUUUGUCGGUUAUCGAGGUAAUUAUGGCCACGAUUUUAGCCGCCUAUUCCGUUACUUAUACGUAUCAAACUUCUCCAUUUACACUUCAUAACCUUCCAAACUCUCUCGAACUCUUUUUGUUUAACUUAUACUUGUCCUCAACUUUCCCAAAUCUUCUCUUUUAGUGAAGACCCUUUCCUCUUUUUUGAUAGCAAUGGCCUCUUCUUCCAGAAACCUUAGUUCUUCAAAGAACAAAGGUAAAGUUGAUGACAUUGCUCCUCUUACGGUGAGCACCAUCAUCCCAAAGAGUCUUAUCAAAACGAAGGACUUCAAAGAGAAGUUUCCUACCGUUAAUUCACGCACGUGGGUUGUUGGCAUGUAUCCUUCUUCUAUCCGUCCUUCCAGCAUCCCUGUUGUGAAGGAAAACCGACAUUGCCUUGAUUUGAACAUCAUCGCUCGUGACCUGUCGGAGUCGAUAAUCUUACCCAAGAAAGGUUUUACGUAUUUUUAUAUGUAUCCCUUCACUUUGGGGCCAUUCUCUUUGAACUGGGAGCUUAACUCUGUUAUCACGGAGCUCUGCAUCCGUUAUCAGGUAUACCUGGCGCAGGUAAGUCCUUCUGUGUGGAGGACAAUUGCUUGUCUUAGGCGUCUAUGCCAGGAGACAGGAGAAGAGCUAACCUUGGCUUGAUUAAUGAUCCCCCAAGAUUUUCCGUGGGAGAAUGAUAAAUUUCAGCAAGUGUGGCCACUAUGCUCUGCUAUCCAGCAUGGAUGAUGAUAACGAUCGUGAGUGGAAGGAACGGUUCAUCAUAGUUGCCACAAGCGACAUCAUUCCGGCCACGGCUUCAUCCUUUUCGGAAUUAUGGAACCUAACUCAUAAGUUCAUCAUUUGUCUUUUCUUUCAUUAAAGAUCGCCCCAUAUCGUUAUUGGACCUUCUUCUUUAGCUUAUUUCAGCAACUCGGUGGGUACCACCUAGGGUUGAAGGCUUGGAUCAGUGGGUCCAAAAAAAUUUGAAUGUUACUAUGCUCGAGACCCGCACGUGGAAAAAACUUGCCCUUAAAUAUGGGUGGGAGGCCAAGAAUCAUGGUAAGUUGAACUCAUCUUGUUUUUACUGUAACGACAUGGCCAGUUGUUUUGAGUAUUUUAGCCCCUAUCCCCUAUAUUAUGCUUCCUCUAUGCUAUACUGUAGUUAUGUAACUUGCCUGGGUGGUUGGUUUUGGUUUCGGGUGAGUUUUGGAGUGAAAUGGGAUACAUAGUCCCUAAGUUGGAAGGUUAAGUCGUAGGAGUUGACCGUAGAUUGACUUGUAUGAAGACGACUUCGGAAUGGAGUUUUGACAGUUCCAAUAGCCCCUAUGGUGAUUUUUGUCGUAGAAGCAUGUCCGAAGGGUAAUUUGGAGGUCUGUAGGUUGUUUCGGCGUGAUUUGGCGAAAUUUGAAAAGUUGGAGGAUUUUUGGAAAGUUUGACCAUGAGUUGUCUUUAUUGAUAUCGGGGUCAAAAUCCAAUUUCGAAAGUUGAAAUAUGUCUGCAAUAUCAUUUAUGACUUGUGUGCAAAAUUUGAAGUCAAUCAGAGUUAUUUUGGUAUGAUUCGGCAUCGGUUUUAGAAUUCGGAAGUUCAUAAUUUCUUAGGCUUGAAUUUGGAUUGCGAUUCGUAGAAUUUAUGUUAUUGGAUGUGAUUUUUGUCCUUGAGUAGGCCUGUUAUUUAUUUUGAAACUAUUUGGUAUAUUCGAGCGGGGUCCCGGAGGCCUCGGGUGUGAUUCUGAUCGAAUCCGGAACAAUUUGGACUUAUUGAAUUUUGCUGAAGGUUGGCAGCUUCUGGUGUCUUUGCACUUGCGGAGGGAUUAGCCGCAGAUGCGGGCUUGCAAAAACGAGCACUUGGUCGCAAAUGCGGAGCUAGGCAUGCCCAACUGGGGGCGCAUGAGUGGGAAAUGUUCCACAGAAGCGGCUUCGCUUAUGCAUUGGAGGGGAACGUAGGAGCGACAGUGGUAACAGGUGAGACGCUUGUGCCGCAGGUGCGCAUGCGCAGAUGCGAACCUUUUUCCGCAGAUGCGGAUAUCUUGGACUUAAGUGAAGACCGCACCUGCGAUGGUUUUCCCGCAGGUGCGUAGCCACAGAUGCGGUAGAAAGGUCGCAGGUAAGAUUUAACUGGCAGAAAAAGGGGAAAUUCGAGGCUUAGUUUUCAUAAUUUAUUUUGGGAUUUUGGGAGCUCAGUGGGAAAUGAAAUUUCGAGGAAUUUUCAGUGAGAAUGUUGGGGUAAGAAGAAGCCUUAACUCAAUUUUGGUUAAAUUACUCGAGUCUAUCAUUGUUUUAUCAUGUAAUUAGGGAUUGGAGUUGGAAAAAUUGGGAAAAGGUGGUAGAACUUCUUAGACUAAGUUUUUAGUUUUGAAAAGCGAAUUGAGGUCAGAUUUGAAUAAUUCUUGUGUGAUUGAACUCGAUAUCGAAUGGGUGUUCGAAUUUUAUAAUUUUGGUCGGGUUUCGAGAUGUGGACCGAGUUGACUUUUUGGGUUGAUUUUUCAAUUCUUUGCAAAGAUCGUAAUUUCACUGUUUGAAUUAGUUUCCUAUAGUUAUAAUUUUAGUAUGAAAUUUUGGCUGAAUUCGAGCCGUUCGGAGUUGGAAAAUCGAGGGAAAGGUCUUCUAGUGGAUUGACUUAGCAUGAUUUGAGGUAAGUGGCUUGCCUAACUUUGUGUCGGGGAACUUUCCCUUAGGAUUGGUGUUACUUGUGAUAAUUGUGAUGUGCAAAAGCCGUGUACGAAAGGUGACGAGUGUGUACACGGGCUAAAUAUGAAAAUUAUCGGUUUUUGGCUGUGUAAAUUCCUUUCAUGUCAUAGUUGAGUUGCUUUAACAUGUUAUAGUCUUCAUUUUUAGUCUAAUUCUAUAUGUCUACUUCUCUUAUCCCUUACUGGCUAAUUGCUCUACAUGUUUAGUCAAAAUUCUUGUUUCUUUUAUUCCGUAUUCAUUAUUAACUAUGGAAUUCUUUAUUGAAAUUAUUAUUUCUUGGAAUAUCUUGUCGUUAAAAUUAGUAUUGAGUUGCAAGGGCCGUGAUUCUAUUGAGGCAAAGUGUUAAGUUGUUAAACAUCAUGCUAUUGAGUUAUUCCUCGGGUUGUUAAUUGUUGAGACUUUGUGUACAUUGUGUUUGAGUCGUGGGCUCCUUGUUGUGAAAUUAUGUUAUUGUUUGGUUUCUCUGGCACGUUGUGAUAUUGGGCCCUUGAGGUGUGGUUUAUGAUAAGUUGUGAUAGUGAUACGCAUGUGGUGGUAUAAGGUUUGGGUGUUGAAACACAUGCGGUGAGAUAAGGUGGUCUUGAUACGCAUGGUUAGUAGGAAACUACUAGAAUCCAUGCGGUAUGAUAAGGUGGGCUGAAACGCGGGAUGCUAUUUCGGGAAAAAUAAUUUUCAAAACUAAAUGUAAAGACUCCCGCGGUGAUAUAAGAAAAGAUUUUGAUUUAUUUUGUGAUUUGAGACUACGAGGCGGUACCUCAGUAGUGACUCUUGUUGACAUUUUCCCAUUUUCUUGUCUUGAUCGGUUUUUCCUUAGCAUAUUAUUAAAUGUCUUGCUCUAUGUUGCACUAUUUGCUUAGUUUCGUGUAUCUAAUCUUGUUAUGCUAUUCGUUUGUUUAAUUUUCAUUACUAUCUUAUUAUACUAUCUAUAUUGUUCAGUCUUUUAUUUAUUUUUAGUAGGGCCUGACUUGAUCUCGUCACUUCUCUACCAAGGUUAGUUUUGGC